rnacentral:misc_RNA from 1 species
AACGCACCUUGCGCCCCUUGGUAUUCCGAGGGGCACACCCGUUUGAGUGUCGUGAAAAUCUCAACCUUCUCGGUUUUCUUCUGGACACCGAAGGAGGCUUGGACUUUGGAGGCCUUUGCUGGCAUCUCUCUCUUCUUGAGAGCCAGCUCCUCUUAAACGAAUUAGCGGGGUCCUCUUUGCCGAUCCUCGACAUGUGAUAAGAUGUUUCCAUGACUUGGUUUCUGGCUCUGUUGCCUUUGGGACCCGCUUCUAACCGUCUCGACGAGACGACGUUUGGGCGCGUCUCCCUUCUCGGGAGACACUCUCAACCCCACGAACCCUUGACCUCAAAUCGGGUGAGACUACCCGCUGAACUUAA